GUAAAACCUGGCAUAGUAUUUCAGGGGAUUUACAGAUCCCAAGAAGUGAAUCAGGGAACGCCUGUGGGCCUUGUGGUCCCCAAGUGAGAAAAGUCCAGCUGCAGGAGUGUCCACCUCCAAUUGGGGUGACAGGAGCUCUCUGUCCUGUCCAGAAUGGUGCUGGCCCUUUGUCUCAGUCUUUUUGUCUGUAAUAACAAAAUACCCAAGACUGGGUAAUUUGUAAAAAACAAAACAACAAGAACAACAAAACCAGGAAUUUAUUUCUCACAGCCUCUGAAGUCUGGGAAGUCCAAGCUCAAGGUGAAGCCUCCUCAGGUGGCAAAGAGCAGAAGCACAAAAGAGACCAAACUCCCUCCCUCAAGCUCUUUUACAAGAACACUGAGACAUUCACAAGUGCUGAGUCCUCAAACCUACUAACCUCCUGAAGGCUACACCUCAAAUACGGAUUGAAUUUUCGCAUGAGUUUUGAGGGACACCCAUUCAAAGCAUAGCACCCUUCGGCUUCAGAGAAGCUCCAGCCCUGUUGUCACCAAGCAGGUUCCCCCUAGGCAGAGCGCCAAGAAGCAGCCCAGGCGAUCCCAAGGCGCACAAGUGCUCUCACCAGGCUGCGCGCUGGCGGGUCGGUGCACAGGGACGGGGUCGCCGCCCACGCGCGCUUGGUUCAGGGAGCCCAGGCUGUCCCUACCCGCGGCUACAAAAGCUCGCCGAGUCUUCCUGUCCACCCAAUCGCCCCACAUGUCAGCGGUUGGUCGCCUCGCGGUGCAGUGCUGGGCACGCGAGCCCCUCCCGCAGUCAUUCUCAGCACAAGCACCAGCCUGGAGCCCCGCAGCGACAGAGCUGAGAGCCCCCAAGCCGCAGAGGUCGUGCGGAGCAGGCCUAAGGCAAUAGCUAAUUGAGACUAUGCAUCACUAUUAAGGCAUCUUCACUAAAGGGCGCUGUGGAAACGCUGCCUGAGAUGCAGACACCUGUCAGAAGGGGGCUAAAUUUCAAACAAGGAACGUGGUGUUGCAUCACAAUAAAGUAGAUUCUAGUAUUACCUUCCUUUUUCAGAAGAGGAGACCAAUGGGGAGCAUUGGAAUGAUUUGGUUGCAAGCAUACUACACUACUUGUAAACUGCAGACACAGGCUUAAAAAAAGUGAAAAACUAACCAUGCAAUAAAGAAUGGAAUGAACCAUGAAGCUGUUUCUGUGGCCAGUCAUGUUUUUGAAGCAUAUCCCAUGCUAAUUUCUAGAACAGAAGAAACACACGUGUUCUUGUGUGUAAACCCAGUCCAUGGAAGAGACCGUCUGCUUGUCCCUCCUGAUCUCUGGGCCCAGACAACCAGUAGUCACCAUUCCAAGUGAGGGGUGGCUGCAACUCUACAGCCCCGUUCGUCUCUCCUCACUGUCAAAGCUGCUGAGACCCCAGACUCGACACUUGAAAGAAACCCAUGUCUGUGAAGCACUUGUGGACCAUUCAAGAUUGUGGAAGAAUCACUCAAGAGAAGGAGAUAGCAAUAUUUGCAGAUAUGCAAACUGGCCCCUUGCAUGCACAUCCUGGAGCACGUCCUGGAGCCUUUAGAGGAGACGGCUGCUGCUGUUCCAGUCUCUCCUUAGGCAGACUUGAGUUUCUACCCACUCUUCCCAAGCAGCCGCCCCUCCGCACCCGAGCGAGCCAAAGACCUGGCGGGCUGAGUACUCACUGCGCGCUGGACACAUGCUGAGCCGGCACUGCAGGGACACAGGGCGAGCCGCUGGAUGCAGACCUGUGGCCGCGGCAGUUGGGCUUAUCUUGCCCAUGAAGUUGCCUCUGAAGAACCAAGUCCAACUGUGUAUGCUGAGAGAUGUCUGGCUACUUCCUGAUUGACAGUUCUGGCAAGGUGGCAUUGGGCCCUGGCUUUUCCUCUGGAGGCAUCAUCACUUAUAGGAAAAUGUCCCCUGAAGUCCAAGGAUCAAAGCUGCUGGAACACUGAGAAGCUGAACAAAGGAGAACUGUUUCUCAUCAAACCCAGACUUCCAGACUUCCAAUAGGGUAGAAUGAGCAAGUCAGCAAAUCAUCUUCCUUGGAAACAGUGAUAAAACUAGAUGACAUUGUCAACAACAGCCAUUUCAGAAAUCUAGAAAAUGACCAAAGGCAAACAACAAACUGAGAAGCAUUUUUUUUUCCAUGAAAAAUCGCUCUAUUUCUGCAAAAAUAGUGGGAGUCUAUGGCUUCUCAUCCAGGGCUGUUUCUCUCCCCACCCCAGCUCAGUCAGUACAAAGGUUCUGGCAGCAUGAGGCAGACUGAACAGACCUGAAGUUUGAUUGCUGGAAGAAACUGACUCCAGGUUUGGCAGAGGGUGAGAAACCUACUCCCAGCCAUGUUGUCUGGUGACACAGUGACCUUAGGGACAAGUGAAUAGGGAAGGCCAGUGAUUCAUUAACCUGAGGUUGCAGUCCUGGUUGGGGAAAGCAUCAGAAUGGCAGAUAAGCUAGAAAUUUAGUAGGGAUAUGCUGGAAAUGAGACAACCCCAAAGGGGCUUGACCCCAAAGUUGUCCACACACCCCAGCUGCCUUCUGAGCAGAUGUAGGGAGAGACCAGAGAAGGCCUAGGCUAUCCACACAUCUCUGGCUAACCCAGGCUGUAAACCUGUGGAGGAGACACAAGAGGUGGAUUGAUUGCUAAUGGGCAUAUGGGGGAUCUUACUGGUUGAUAGGAACAUUCUCAAAUUGGAUUGUGGUGAUGCUUGCACAACUCUAAGUUUAUCCCAAAUUGCUAAAUUUUACACUAAAAAGGGGUGAACUUUAGGGUAUAUAAAUUAUACAUCAAUAAAGUUGUCAUAAAGCAUUCACAUUCUAAUAAAUGGCUCUAAGAAAUAUUGUUUUGAAAAUUUUCCUUUGGUAUAUUAUGGCACUCCAAAAUCAACUUCUGUCAGAACAAUAAUUAACUAUUUCUGAUUAUAGAUAUUGGUCAUCUACAAUGAUUUAUUCAGUCUUUUAUGUCCCGCAUAAGGGCUUAGAAUGCUUUAAAUUUCUAAGACCAUCAAUAGCCAGGACUCACCUGAAAACUAUAUAUAUUUUUAAAAAGACGUAUGCUCUGGGACACCAUAUGCUAACAUUUGUUGAGCACACAGUUUGCUACAGAGGUUAAGAGGUGUACUAUUUAAAUCUAACUUCCUCAAGGGGCUCACACUAUUACAAUAGUAAGCUAAAGAGAUAGAAGAAAAGUUUAUAUAUAAAAUCUCAGUACAGGGAUGGGGUUGGUAACAAAUAAGAUGCUGCCACUUACACUUGAUAAAUUAUAAAAUAUCUAUUGCAUUCAUUAUUGGAGGCUGACCCUUAUAAAAACCUUGUGGGUACUGCAAAAGACAGGGAAACCGAGGCUCAGAGUGGUUCAGCAACUUGUGUGAGGUCACAUACCUCAUGUCAAAGCUGAGAUUUAAAUGUGUGUGGCUAGGCUGGACAUGGUGGCUCACACCUGUAAUCCUAGCACCCUGGGAGGCUGAGGUGGAACACACUCCUUGUUUGUGUCCAGGAGUUCAAGACCAGCCUGGACAACAUAAUGAGACCUCAUCUCUACAAAAAAUAAAAAAUUAGCUGGGUGUGGGGCCACGCACCCCAAGGUUCUCAGGAGGCUGAGGCAGGAGGACUGCUUGAAAUCAGGAGGUUGAGCCUGCAGUGAGCUGUGAUCAUGCCACUGCACUCUGCCUGGGUGACAGAGUGAGACCCUGUCUCAAAAAAAUAAAAAUAAAAACAAAUAAAUGUGUGUGGCUGAUUCUCAUGCAAAUAUUGGUGAAGAUCUGGUAGUGAUGUAAAUUGGUAGAACCUCAGUGGGAGAUAACUUUGCAAUAGCUAUCAAAUGAAAACUGUGUAUAUUCUUUGUUUCAGGAAUUUCACUUCUAAGAUGUUUUUAAUAUAGCAGAAAUGGUUAUCCAUAAAGAAUUAGUUCAAUACAUUUUAUCUGUAAAAUGGAAUGCAAUGCGGCCAUUAAAAAGGAGGCAUAUCUGAGUAUACUAAUAUAGAAUGGUCUGCAAGAUAUAUUAACUUUUUUACAAAAGCUGUUCCCCACACUUCUUCGUGUUGUUUGAAAAGACGUGAAGGCUCAGACAGGCCUUCAUUGUGACUUGCCCAGGAUGAGUAGCAGGGCUGGAAUUCCUACUCAGGAGUCCAGAUUUAUAGGCUUCCUCUUUGCUUUAUCCUAUUUCAUAGCUGUCUCUGUUGCCAGAGCCAUGGAAGG
rnacentral:lncRNA from 10 species